rnacentral:lncRNA from 1 species
GCCACACAGUUGCUGCUGGCAUGUUUGCAAUAUAGCACAAGGUGCUGUAAAAUGAAGAUAUAUUGUUAAAUAUCAUGAGAUAGAAAUGAAAGAUGAAGAUCUAGCUGUACCCGUCCCGAGCCACACUACUGCAGCCACGUUGCUGCUGGCAUUUUUGCAAAAUAGCACAAGGUCACAACAAUUGAUGUAACAAAUAUAAUCAAUGGACCAGGCACCUGCACCAUGAUUCUUUGGAAUACUAAAAUUCGUCUCUUUAUGUCUGUACUUCUCAUAAUGAAAAAUGUCACGUUUUUAUGAAACAA